CUGCUAUUGGCACAUUCUCAAGAACACACUGUCCUCUUCUGGCCUCAGACUUGCACAGGACACCCGAAGGACAGACACUGGCUUUCUACAAGCUUCCUUUCCACCCUUGCCACACGGGAACCCACAGAGGGAGGUGUGUCAAGACCCAAACAGAUCCCACAGCGGAAUCGUUUCCAAAUAGACCCCUCCCCAAAAGCUGUAGCCGUGGCCAGGAAGAAAUCCGCCCCCUCCGAAGGUUGUUUUUGUGAGCGCUCUUGGGAGCAUUGUUCUAAAAAUGGGAAAUUACAUAUCACUGUGCCAAAGGAAACAAACACCUGCAGUUAAAGGGAUACCUUCCACCAGGUGGCUUUUAGAGUCCCAGCCAGCUCUGGACCAAGGGCUGUUGCACCAGUUCUUUUUGGUGCGUUUCUUCACUUCUAAGGGAAUCGGGUUUGUAACCAGAGUGGGCUUUGGCAACGAUGGGGCUCGGUUGAUGGUCCUUCACUUAUUCACUCAGUAAACAUCUAUCAAGCAUCUGUGCUGGGUCAGUGUUAGUGGUUUCACUACUCCCUUCCCUGGCGUUGUUAAAAUUACUGGGAGCGUUGGCUGCAGGCAGCGACUUUCUGACACUGUUUUUCAGAGUCAGUAUUUGACUUCCGCCCCCAGAUGAUGAGGAGCCAGAGAGAACAUCAACUUCUUCUCUCCUUCCUCUCCUUUCUUUCUCCCCUCCCUC